rnacentral:rRNA from 1 species
CAGCNAUGCCGCGNUGUUGUGAAGAAGGCCUUCGGGUUGUAAAGCACUUUUAUCAGGAGCGAAAUCGGCGUGGUCAAUACCCGCGUCGUCUGACGGUACCUGAGGAAUAAGCACCGGCUAACUUCGUGCCAGCAGCCGCGGUAAUACGAAGGGUGCAAGCGUUAAUCGGAAUUACUGGGCGUAAAGGGUGCGUAGGCGGUUAGUUAAGUCUGUUGUGAAAUCCCCGGGCUCAACCUGGGAAUGGCAAUGGAUACUGGCUAGCUAGAGUGUGUCAGAGGAUGGUGGAAUUCCCGGUGUAGCGGUGAAAUGCGUAGAGAUCGGGAGGAACAUCAGUGGCGAAGGCGGCCAUCUGGGACAACACUGACGCUGAAGCACGAAAGCGUGGGGAGCAAACAGGAUUAGAUACCCUGGUAGUCCACGCCCUAAACGAUGCGAACUGGAUGUUGGUCUCAACUCGGAGAUCANUGUCGAAGCUAACGCGUUAAGUUCGCCGCCUGGGGAGUACGGUCGCAAGACUG